rnacentral:rRNA from 1 species
AGCAGCCGCGGUAAUUCCAGCUCCAAUAGCGUAUAUUAAAGUUGUUGCAGUUAAAAAGCUCGUAGUUGAAUUUCGGGAUCAAUUUAUUGGUCGUGCUAUUGUACGUACUGGUAUUAUUGAUUCCUACCUUCUGACGAACCAUGAUGUCAUUAAUUUGGUGUCAUGGGGAAUCAGGACUGUUACUUUGAAAAAAUUAGAGUGUUUAAAGCAGGCUCACGCUUGAAUACAUUAGCAUGGAAUAACGAAAUAGGACGUUUGAUUCUAUUUUGUUGGUUUCUAGGAUCGACGUAAUGAUUAAUAGGGAUAGUUGGGGGCAUUAGUAUUCAAUUGUCAGAGGUGAAAUUCUUGGAUUUAUUGAAGACUAACUACUGCGAAAGCAUUUGCCAAGGAUGUUUUCAUUAAUCAAGAACGAAAGUUAGGGGAUCGAAGACGAUCAGAUACCGUCGUAGUCUUAACCAUAAACUAUGCCGACUAGGGAUCGGAUGAUGUUAAUUUUUUAAUGUA